GCUCCUGUAGCCUAGUGGUUAGAGCGUCCGUCUCGGAUGCGAUAGGUCAUAGGUUCGAUCUCCGGUCGAGUA